GAAAAACCAGAUGGCAGAAGUUACUCAGAAGAAAUGAAAGGAUUUUCCAUUAUUCAAAUAGGAGGUGGAAGAGGAAGUGUGGGAGUAAUUACUGGAUUAAGAUCACUGAAAGACAAGAUUGUCUUUAAGGGGAAGUGAAGUGAAUGACAUAGGGACCUUCUGACCAUACAUCAGAAAGAGGAUCAUCUGCUUCUGGUGAUCUUGGAUUAUCAAGCUAUGACAAUGUUGAUGGUUGCAUGUCAGGAGCAGAUAAUAUUAAUGACUAACAGGAACAGAAGACUGAGAAGAAAAGAAGCUUGCUCAAGGUCACAUAGAGCUGGAAUUUAAAUUCAGAUCUAUUAUACUCUUAAGGACUGUGGAAGGGAAAUGGAUUCCUGUUUCUUAGCUGAGCACAAGGUUGCCCAGUAAAAGAAUAACAAGAAAUAUUGAGUGGAGCCCCUGGGCAAAAUCUGAUCCAGAGACUGUGGAUGCUGGAGGAGCGUCAAGGCUGGGAAAGUAACAUGCACUGUGUUCGCAAUCAACAGAAAAGAUAUU
rnacentral:lncRNA from 1 species